ensembl:lncRNA
GUACCAUUAAAGCAUUUGCCCAUGAAGAUAAAUUUACCUGUGAUAACUGGCACUGUUCCCGGACACUGAUGGCGAAUGCCGCUGCGGAUCUAGCUAUAUCAGGUCUGGUUCUGGAGGUCACAGCAACAGCGUCUUCCUUUAUAAAAUGAGUUGUAAUUUUUUAAGAGCGAGUAGAUGGACACAGUCAAAGUUGCAAUUGAUUUGAAAGGAAAUGGACAUUUUUGAGGAGAUGCCCGAGAGGGGAAAGACUUCAUUUUAAUCCCGUAUUCGCAGCUCUAUCGUCUAAGGUAAGAGGAAUUAAAUGUUUUUUUUAAUGUUUAAUCUUAGCAUUCAAUGGAGAUAAUACCUAUGAAAGAGAAAGUGUGCAUAGGCUACUCAAAUCAUGCAUGAUUAACGCGCACACUCGCAGUGUGGAUUCAAUGAGGCCCAUAUUUAAAUAUAUCGUUAUAUGUAGGACAAAAAUAUUAAAUUACAUAACAAGUCAGCAUCACACAGAGAGCAACCUAAUUGGCACGAUAAGAUUGAAAAUAAAUUGAAUUGUGGAAACUUACGGACUCAAGGCGGCCGUCAGCUUCAGGCUGUGGUGACGGUUCAGGUAAAGAGGCAUCAGGUGGGACAGCCGUAGUGCUGGCCGCUGCAGGAGUGCUACAGCUGGAAAACACCGAAACACCAAAUGUUUCCUGUCCCAAAGACCGAGAAGAAGGCGUCGUACUCCAUCCGCUUGGUGGGCAUCCAGUCCUCAAAUACUGAAGGUGCGUCCGUUUAAUGUGGCGAAAGAAAGAGUUAAAAACUCUAAAGUCCUGUUCACAUCCAUCAAUACCACAGUAAACCCCAAAAUCCGGGCUGCGACUGUGACUUUUAUUAAUGUGGCUAAGGAGUACUUUAAGACUUAAAGCAACAAAGACGAAACAUAUCAUACACCUCCACGCCGCCAUGAUGCACCGUUGUUGUCGCGGGCUAAUGAUCCAGAGGUGGAUGGGGAGGGGGGCACUCAUGAAAUAAUUUGUUAUUAUUUUAACAAUACAUUCCUCUAAUUAUAAAUGCGACUUAAUUAAUUUUACGAUGGUAAGUUUUUAAAAAAUAAUAUUUUGCUAACAUGUUCAUGUUUACGUCCGAUCAUUUCUGCGCAUCCUCAGUUCAUGUCCUCCAACGGUCCCACCUCAAUGACGUCAGUGUUCGCGGUUCACCGCUUGAGUAACUGAAAGAUUUGGGUGCGUUACAUUUGACGAAGAAGUGCAAGAAGAGCGGCUCAAUUUCUACGGUACCGCCUGUUAAUGCUUCAGGGAGCUGAUGAAUCUAAGAUGGAUACUUUUGACGAUGCCACUCUAUCGGUGUUGGAGGUGUGAAAAUACCACGGACCAAGAUGCCAACAAUUGUGCCAUGCCACCAUGCCAGCCUCAAACCUCAACCCCCAUAUCUGCUGAGAAAAAAAUGAAAAUGCCAGACCCUCCAGAGUAUGUGGUGUACACAGAUUCAGAGUUAGACAUGGUGCGUAGUCAAUACUUUGCACUGCUCUGCAAUGGAAAGGAAAAAAAUUACAAACUGUCCAAGGAGCUAUGUUGCAGACUUGUAAGGAACACAAUAACCAGUAUGGUUGCUAUCCUGCGUGCUAGUCCCAUGGGGAAAGAAGUCAGUUACCCGUCAAAAUUGGAAAUAAGAGCCAUGUCACAGAAGAUUAUAGACUAUUACCCAAUGUUACGGGAUGAUGAUCCAAACAUGCCUUAUCUGACUAUCUACACCAAAAUGUACAAGCGACUCCAAAAUAUGAGAUCCCCACGGAAGAGGCAAGGCUCUGUACCACAAAGAGGAGUGGCAAAGACAGCUCUCUUCAGUGCAGACAACCAAGACAUGGAGACGGAUUGGACAGACACAAGCAACUCAAGUGAUAAUACCUUACUUCUUGAGAGCAAUGAUGACCUUACCGAGGACAACUCCAGUGAAGCAUUCCCAGCACAUCGACCCCCCUCUGUGCCAAGGAAGCCAAAGACCAAAACCUUCCUGCUGCCAUCCGCAUCAGCCUCAGGCUCCUCACUCAGGACUGUGAUCGCUUCACCAACCACGCCUGCAAAGGAUGAUGUUGUCGGCCAGGACAGUCUGAAAAUGCAGGCUAGGCACUACAAAACCUUGAGCAACAUGUACAAUAAGCCAAAUGCAAAACCCAAUCAAAGUGAUGUUGCUCAAGUUUUAGACCUUGAGUUUAAGGCCAGACGGGCUUUCAUUGAUGCAGAUGUUACAAGGGAAGAAGACCGACCUGCAAAAAUCUUUGAGGCAUAUCCAUGCUUUAGAGAUGUUCGAAAUGCAAUGGAUGAGCUGCGGUGCAUAGUAGGUGGCACCAACAGCAGAUACAUCGAGGAAGUGAAAGGAAGAUGGGCAGACUUUUGUGCCAAGGUGCAGUUCUAUGGUGUGUGGAAGAAAGCCCUGAAACCCCCCUUUCCAUUGGAUGUCCGUGGAGUGGAGUUCACGCUUGCCCUCUUCAAUGCACUCCCAUCCCUUUUCCCCUCACCAACUUCACCACCAAAGAAGCUUGGAAAUAGCUGUGAGGCACUUCUUCAUGUCCUGAAG